rnacentral:lncRNA from 1 species
ACAAAGCUGCAAGAAAAAAAAAGGAUAAUUUUCCCAAAAAAACCAAAACCAAAUACAUUUCAGUAUUUACUAUCAAUUAUCAAUGUACAGGGGAUUUGUGAGCACUGCAUGUGGCCAAUCCAUAUGCAGGACAAUGGUGUAAACCCAAACUGGUUAAAGAAUCAUUACUGUAUAAAAGGAAGUCAUCAAGUCAAUGCGUUAAAUUAUGAUAUUCUUAGGAGCCA